GCCGUUGCAUAUCCACAUCAUCAUGUUUUCAAUAUCAAUCAAAAUACAAUUCAUCAACCUCAAAAUGUAAUCCAGUUCCAUAAAGAUUUAAGUCUUAACCUCAGAUUUCCUUCAAUCUUGUCACAUCCUCGGCAGCUUCCUAGCGUUUGGCACCACCGCUCUCUCAUCAGUACUAGGAAGUCAUUGUCAAGGCCAUCGUUUAAGCGCGUUUCACCCGGAAGCUCUCUGAAGUGACUA